UACGUAGGGGGCAAGCGUUAUCCGGAAUCAUUGGGCGUAAAGCGCGUGUAGGCGGUUCACCAAGUCCGCUCUGAAAGCCCAGGGCUCAACCCUGGGAGGCGGGUGGAUACUGGUGGACUAGAGUCCGGAAGAGGAGAUUGGAAUUCCUGGUGUAGCGGUGAAAUGCGCAGAUAUCAGGAGGAACGCCAACAGCGAAGGCAGAUCUCUGGGACGUGACUGACGCUGAGACGCGAAAGCGUGGGGAGCAAACAGG
rnacentral:rRNA from 1 species